ensembl:lncRNA
GCAGGACUACUGGCGACGCGGUCACGGAAAAUAACAGCCAGACACAGACAAACGAGUCCCGCAAAGUGUAUUUUUAAGCUUAUGUUAGAGAGAUGGCUGACAGAGCAUCUUCGUCAUCUCUAACCGUCACUCCCGCCACAGAUCUGAAGCGAGUGCAAAGGCAGAGAGGGGCGGUGUGAUGUCAUUGGCAGCAAGAAGGCUGCAAUACUUAUAUGGGCCUGAAAUGAAGAACAAUAUCAGUCAUUCAAGCUAUGAUCCUGGCAGAUCUACUAUCUGAAAAAAGACUCAGCAGAUUUUUUUCAAGACACACAAGAAGCGCUGCAGGUGUGUGAUGUGAUUUGAAGACCAUGUGAAUCCUCAUGUUCUGUUGUUAGCGGCUUUUUGCACAUGUAAAAUUAAUACAAAUAUGGAGCGUGGAGAGACCGGACAGUUCCCACAGUGCUAGUUUUUCAGCACCCACACCCCACACACAAAUUCAUAUAGAAGUUUUCAAUAAUAAAAAGUUUAUAUGAUAGUUUAUAUUUAGCUAUGAAGUUAUAGUUCAUUGUCAUAAAUAUUAAACUAAAUAUUAAAGUCCCCCUGUAGUGAAAUCAAGUUUUUAUGCUGUUUAUUUGUCUUUGUGGUUUUUAAUAUUGCUACAUUACAAUCCAAUAACCAAUCACAUUAAAGAAUCAAUUCCUAUCAUUAGAAUGCAAAAUAUACCAAUACCAGCACAAGACUAAAAAUAAAUUAUAGGAAAAAAAAAAAAAAAACAUUAAGCUGUGGUUUAAUGUGAAUUUAGAUACAAUAUUUGACUACGGGGGACUAAAUUUUUUUUUACAUGAUAUGCAAUUUUCACCAGUCUGUUCAAUGUGUUAAUGAGAUUUUUGAAAGUGAUUAUCUUUAAUAAUUCAGAUACCUGUUGAAAUGCACAUGUAAUUAUAUGCUUGCUCGUAUCUUGAAUGUUGUGUUAAUAAACAUUAUGUUGAAAGAAUGUUGCAACAGUGCUAACCUGAAAAUAACAUUUUAUUAAGCUAC